CAGUCGCCGCGGGAAUACGGAGGGAGCUAGCGUUGUUCGGAAUUACUGGGCGUAAAGCGCGCGUAGGUGGUUCGCCAAGUUGGAUGUGAAAUCCCCGGGCUCAACCUGGGAACUGCAUCCAAAACUGGUGAGCUAGAGUACGGUAGAGGGUAGUGGAAUUUCCUGUGUAGCGGUGAAAUGCGUAGAUAUAGGAAGGAACACCAGUGGCGAAGGCGACUACCUGGACUGAUACUGACACUGAGGUGCGAAAGCGUGGGGAGCAAACAGGAUUAGAUACCCGGUAGUCCAUGUCUCUUAUACA
rnacentral:rRNA from 1 species